rnacentral:rRNA from 1 species
GACGAACGCUGGCGGCGUGCUUAACACAUGCAAGUCGAGCGAUGAAGUUCCUUCGGGAAUGGAUUAGCGGCGGACGGGUGAGUAACACGUGGGUAACCUGCCUCAUAGAGGGGAAUAGCCUUCCGAAAGGAAGAUUAAUACCGCAUAAGAUCGUAGUUUCGCAUGAAACAGCAAUUAAAGGAGUAAUCCGCUAUGAGAUGGACCCGCGUAGCAUUAGCUAGUUGGUGAGGUAACGGCUCACCAAGGCGACGAUGCGUAGCCGACCUGAGAGGGUGAUCGGCCACAUUGGGACUGAGACACGGCCCAGACUCCUACGGGAGGCAGCAGUGGGGAAUAUUGCACAAUGGGGAAACCCUGAUGCAGCAACGCCGCGUGAGUGAUGACGGUCUUCGGAUUGUAAAACUCUGUCUUCAGGGACGAUAAUGACGGUACCUGAGGAGGAAGCCACGGCUAACUACGUGCCAGCCGCCGCGGUAAUAC